rnacentral:sRNA from 1 species
GCUGGGUGCAGUGGCAGAUGCCUGUAGUCCUAGUGGCCAGGAGGCUGAGGCAGGAGGAUUGCAAGUUCAAAGCCAGCCUCAGCAACUUAGCGAGGCGCUAAGCAACUCAGUGAGACCCUGUCUCUA